GGGUGGGUAGGUGGCCCUGGGACUGCGGGCGCUGAGUCCAGGCAUGGGAUGCUCUCAGCAGUUUUCCUGCACAAGGGGAUGGAGAUGUUCUAGAGGAGGGAGGAGACUUCCAAAAGUCCUGGGGAGAACACACUGGUAUCUGACGAGUCAAAGCAGGAAACAUUACCCAGAUGCCUCUUCUGUCCUGCCUUGUGUUGGAAGAGCCCCUUCUGGCCGUGCCCACCCCUUCUUCAUGGUGCUUUUGACACCGGCUCUGCCACACUGCUCUGGCUGA
rnacentral:lncRNA from 1 species